rnacentral:lncRNA from 10 species
AGCCCGCCUGGCGCGCGGGGCUCUGCGCGCUGCGACCCUCCCCGGCAGUCCCGCCCGCCUCUCCUCGCCCUCUCUCUGCCUGGCCUCCAACUUUGCCUCUCGCUAUCCUCUCCGCCGGCGCCCCCUUUCCCGGCGGUCCCCGGGAUGGUCCCCGGCACCCCGAGGACGCCGAGGUUACGGGAAGUUCGGGGACUGGCGGGAGAAGGGGUUUGGGGGUGGUCCGCGGCGAGGGGCGCGGGGUGCAUCUUCUCUUCCUUUUAUGGGCUGCCACACUUGUGUAUCCCUUCUUCCUUGAAUUUAACCAGGAGUGAGCAGUGGACAGCUUCUUCCCUAUGAGAAGGAGGUGAAGCAGGACCUGAAAUCCCGUGCUCAGCUCCCACAUGCCCCGUGUCCAGGACAAGUCCUUUGCUGAAUCAGCGGCAGACACCACCCGGAGCCCUGCGGGAGCCUUUCCCUGUUCUUCCAGCAUGGAUCUGAAACUCCCUUCCCACUUUCUGCAGCCUCCCAGAGAUAGUUCAGGCUCCAGCCUCAUGUGAUAGCAUGAAGAGAAACUGGUUCCAACAGCUGUGUGCUCUGCUGCCCUCAUCCCAAACAACAGUUUAAAUGCACAAUUACGCUUUUCUCUAAGGCCCAAAAUAGGAUAGGAAAGAUCGUUUUGCUAUCCCUGAAUGCCUGUCACCCUUGUUUCGUAAGGAAGUCAGUCCCAGAAUAGUUGUUCUGCUCCCUCCCUUCUAAUAAGUGCUGCGCUGAGUGUGCUUGCUUUGCCAGAUGGUUAAAACAGAGCAGGGGAUAGAAGGACAGAUGUCUUCACCCUCAUGGAGUUCACCUUCCAGUAGGAGGAGGCGAUAGGCCGGGGUCUGCACAUGUGCGUGCUACAGCCUGUUCCACGGUGCGUGGCGUGCGGGGCAGUAGAGACAGGAUUUCACCAUGUUGGCUAGGAUGGUCUCGAUCUCCUGACCUUGUGAUCCGCCCCUCCCUCAGCCUCCCAAAGUGCUGGGAUUACAGGCGUGAGCCACUGCACCCUGCCAGAAAACUCAUUCUUCUACUCCAUCCUACAGUUUUCCCUAAGAGAGAAACAAUAAAACGCCACCACGACCAAUGGCAAAAAGCUGGCACCCACUCCACGACUUUUCAUAUCUACACGUUUGUACAGCUUUAUUUUUAAGCAUUCUGAAAUUCUAUGCAGGAGAGACCCCAGCUAGGUUUAGGGAGUCCUAGGGUUUGUGGAGUAAAUGAAGUUUCUCCCUAGAAUUAGGGAGGGUAGAGACAGGCAGAGAACUGACAAUCCUAACAGCUGCUGUCCUCAGAGCCACUGUUUCUGAGAGCUGCUCGCUGAGUGCUUCUAGCGAGUUAAAUGGUGUUCGCCCAAAAGACCUGUUCACGUCCUGAUCCUGGGAACCUGUGGCUGUGAUCUUAUUUGGAAAAAGCUCUACAUUACGUCUUUGCAGAAGUAAUCAUGUUAAGGAUCUUGAGAGGACGUGACCCUGAAUUAUCCGGCUGUGCUUGACAUCCAAUGACUGGUGAUGUUGUAAGAGAAAGACGGAGGGAGAUGUAAGAUAUGAGAGAAGGCCACGCCGAGACUGGAGUGAUGUGGCCGUGAGCCGAGGAAUGCCUGGAGCCACCAGAAGCUGGCAAAGGCAGAAGGAGCCUCCUCUGGACCCUGUGGUGGGUACGCAGCCUGGCAGAUAUAUUCAUUUUGGACUUCUGGCCUCCAGGGCUGUGAGAGAAUACAUUUCUGCAGUUUUAAGCCACGCAAUCUGUGUCCCUGGGAAGCCCAAAUAGGGCGAGACCUUUUGCCAAGUGGUCUCCAAGUGUCACGUCAUCGAAUCCUUCUCCCGGGCUUGUGCCAUAGUCUUUCCACUUUAGAGAGGAGGAAACGGAGGCUCUGGGGCACAAAGCCAGUCAGUGGCGGGGCCUGACUUUCAACCCAGCCUGCAUGGGGUCAGAGAACCCACUUUCCCCGUGGGGCCUGCGGCCUAUGCUAAGGAUGCUUGUUCAUCUCUCCUGGGCCCGGGAGUGGUUCUUCUGGCCUAGAAGGCAAGAGAAGCCAGUCUUUCGGUUUCAAGGUUUCCCAUUAGUGGAGUCAAGCAAAAAUGGUGUGUUGCGCUUCUUCCUGAGCUCAGCCUGGGAGCACGGCCUUAACAUGCUCAGUGGAUCCCAAGACGGCAGCAUGGCGGUGCCAGCCUGGCAGCCUUAGCUCCUUGCAGCUGUGCUUGUGAAGGGAGCAGUGAGUGGCUUCCCUCUGUGACCACCUUGGGUCCUAAGUUUCACUGGGGCUGGGAUCCAUGCGUCUUGCAAUUGGCUAGGAAUUUCCCGGGCUUUCCCUCCCUUCCCUGUUCAGGGCACUGGGUGUGAGGCAUUGCAUCCGUUCUUCUGCUCACCUGCUUCCCCCUAAGAGUGUGAGCUGUAUAAAGGCAGGAACCAAACAGGAGCCUCCACGUGUUCCCAGUUCAAGGGCAGUGUCCCCUUCAAUAAUUCAGUGGAUGACUUAUUCUGCACGGACACUGCACACACUCGGCCCUGCCGUCUCCGGAGCUGGGAGGUGUGGAGCUGGCUCCUGACCUAUUUACACACUGAGGAGGGAUGUGGAAAACAGGAGGAGUCCCAGGGCUCCAAUGCAAAGAGGAGCCUCUUCAUUCCCUCUGCCGUGGCCGUGCAAGGGACAGCGCCUUGUGGGAUUGUGUCCUCCACCCAAUUAUCCUUAGCAUUAGUUUGCUAAGGAUAAUGGCCUCCAGCUCCACCCAUGUCCCUGCAAAGGACAUGAUCUCAUUCCUUUCUGUGUCUGCAUAGUAUUCCAUGGUGUAUAUGUACCGCGUUUUCUUUAUCGAGUCUAUCAUUGAUGGGCGCUUCAGUUGAUUCC